rnacentral:misc_RNA from 1 species
ACCUAGCUGCUAUAGAAGCUCCAUCUAUCAAUGGCUAAGCCCCCCGGUCUUAGUGUAUAGGAGUUUUUGAAAAAAUAAAGGAGCAAUAAUCACCUUCUUGUUCUAUCAAGAGGGUGGUAUUGCUCCUUUAUUUUCUUUUUAUUUCUUACAUUAUCAAAGAUUCCAAUAUAUUUGAAAUAGAAAUAAUAAAGAAAAUGGCCGAAACCUAAUUCUAAAUAAAAUAGAAUUGAAAAUGAAAUAGUAAAUAUUCUAAAUAAAUUUUAAUAGGAAAUAAAUAGAAAUAUACWAAAAUAUACUGAAGGGGGCGGAUGUAGCCMAGUGGAUCAAGGCAGU